GCUGGCGUAGCUCAAUUGGCAGAGCAGCUGACUUGUAAUCAGCAGGUUGUAGGUUCAAUUCCCAUCGCCAGCUCCA
rnacentral:tRNA from 1 species